rnacentral:rRNA from 1 species
UACGUAGGUCCCGAGCGUUGUCCGGAUUUAUUGGGCGUAAAGCGAGCGCAGGUGGUUUAUUAAGUCUGGUGUAAAAGGCAGUGGCUCAACCAUUGUAUGCAUUGGAAACUGGUAGACUUGAGUGCAGGAGAGGAGAGUGGAAUUCUAUGUGUAGCGGUGAAAUGCGUAGAUAUAUGGAGGAACACCGGUGGCGAAGGCGAUUCUCUGGACUGUAACUGACGCUGAGGCUCGAAAGCGUGGGGAGCAAACAGG